rnacentral:lncRNA from 1 species
GCCAUCUUGUCAUGCUCCUUCUUAACUUGUCUCUUCAAAACCUCUAUGGCCUUCUCAUGAGCCUCAUUGUCCUUUUUUAUCUCUUUAAGCCUCGACUCCAGUUCUUUAUUCUUUUCAAUGAUAGUAUGCAGAUCAAAAAUCUUUUUCUCCUAUUUAUUAAUCUUUCGUUAAAGAUCCAGUAGGUUUUGGUUCUUUUCUUUCAGUACCUUCAGCUUUUCUUUAAGUUGAUGUUUG